rfam:Candidatus Altiarchaeales archaeon WOR_SM1_SCG NODE_51_length_15743_cov_817.646_ID_91, whole genome shotgun sequence.
GGGCUCGUAGAUCAGUCUGGUAGAUCGUCCGGUUGGCAAUCGGGAGGCCUCGGGUUCAAAUCCCGACGGGUCCA